GGAAGGAACCCUUCACUCCCAUCAGGAAGUGUCACAAAUGUCCCAGCUCUUGUUGUACUUUUCACAGUGCCCUUCAGAGAUUGCCCUGGUGCAUAUUUUGACUCGCCUGUUGCCUUGGCUUCCUGUCUUUCCUUUGUUUGCCUAGGUGAGCUUCUGGGGGUCGCAGUGGCACUCCGCCCAUUACUUUCAGCCUUAGGUGCUUCCUUUUUCGGCUUGACAUAGUCAUCACCUUCCCUCAUGGUCAAAGAGAUGCGCCCCGUUUCCUUAUUUGCUUCAAGCAAUCUGACCGACACCUCUUGUCCAACAGUGAAGAGGGAAGAUAUAUCUUUUACAAACCCGUCAC
rnacentral:lncRNA from 1 species